rnacentral:rRNA from 1 species
ACUACGGGUGGCAGCAGUGGGGGAUAUUGCACAAUGGGGGAAACCCUGAUGCAGCGACGCCGCGUGUGGGAAGACGGUCCUCUGGAUUGUAAACCACUGUCCCCAGGGACGAAGAUGACGGUACCUGGGGAGGAAGCUCCGGCUAACUACGUGCCAGCAGCCGCGGUAAUACGUAUGGAGCAAGCGUUGUCCGGAAUUACUGGGUGUAAAGGGUGCGUAGGCGGGAUGGCAGGUUGGGUGUUAAAUCUACCGGCUCAACUGGUAGUCGCCCUCAAAACUGCUAUUCUGGAGGGAAGUAGAGGCAGGCGGAAGUCCUAGUGUAGCGGUGAAAUGCGUAGAUAUUAGGAGGAACACCAGUGGCGAAGGCGGCCUGCUGGGCUUUUACUGACGCUGAGGCUCGAAAGUGUGGGGAGCAAACAGGAUUAGAUACCCCGGUAGUC